rnacentral:lncRNA from 1 species
GAGAAAUGCUUUUUCACACGUCAGAAGUAACAUCGAAGAAUACAACAACAUGCUCAGUGGAAUAUAACAUAUUACAAAUCUAGCUAUGCAUUCAGUGAAGUUGGUAUUUGAAACUGUAAUAGACCCAUUGCACUUGACGUCACAGCGCCGGUGACGAUGCAUCUGGAGGACAAAUUUGCAAUCUAUGCAUAAUAUAACUUUUGCGGUAAACAAAGCAAAUUUUGUAAAACUUUAUAAUAAUUUUGUAUUAAAAUGUUAAUUUUUGCGCUGUAUGUGGUUGUACCCGAACAGAUAUUAGCGAG